CCCUAUUCCAUCUAAUAAAGUUAUAUACAAGAGUGAGCAUCACAAAGGGGAUAUUGGACAAAUUGUCUUUGCUGUACACAUGGACAAGUGGUCUGCAGGUUAGUUGGAAUGGUUCAACUUUAGGCUAAGAGUUGGGUUCAAGUCUGUUCCUUGCUUUGGAAAUCACAGAGAGCAGCUGCAAAUCACCUGUUUUCCUCAUGGAAGAUGGCAGAAGUGCAAGACGGGGAAGCAAACUUAUGAGAGGUCAUUAAAGGCCUCUGCUCUGAAAUGCCACACUGUCGUUUUGUCGACAUUCCAUUGGCCAAAGCAAGUCACCUGGCUGAGCCCACCAUCAAUGGGAUGGAGAGGUUGCUGAAGUGGCCAAAUGGAAAGCUCGGAAGCUGUUGGCAGCCCCCUUAUCCUCUCCAUGGAAAGAGUAGGCCAUCAACAAGAAAGAUACACAUGCUGAGAGAAUGGGAGACUGCAUGGCUUCGGAGGUCCAGACACAUUCUCCUGUCCUAGACAUCUAUGAGAUCAUCUAUCAUCUUUCUAAAAGCCCCUGAGCUGGCUUAGGACCUGGCUGUUGACAAACACCUGCUUGGCCAAGGCAGGAUCUCUUCCUGGAAGGUCAGCCACGGAACAGCAAGCUGCCCAGGACAUUCUGGGCCCUCUGCAUCACUGAAGACUGAAGUCUCAUCCAUACCUGGCAUUGCCUAAGUUGCAAAGAUUCCCUCAACAUUCACUCUAAUCCUGUUUUCUAUAAGAACUUCAGAUGUGAGAACACAUGUCAGUUGUUGGAUCAGAGGACUCUUCCUACAGCACAAAAAUGCAUGCACUAUAUACCAGAUUUGCAAACAUACAAAAGAUGGCACAUCUCGUUAUUUCUGUUUUUGAGGUUCCUAAGCUCAAGUCUAGUAAAAUGCUGGUUGCCAGUAGACAGGGGCGUUUUGCAGGUAGGUGACCCAGGCGAGGUGAAAUAAGUGGGAAGAGAGAGGCAUGAGGAAUUCCACAGAUUUGGGAAAUGCUUCCAUUAAUAUUUUGUAUUUGUGUUUUAAAUUUUGCGAGUGACUCACAGGCACUGAGGAAAACUA